CAGGUAAAGACACAGGAGAGACGCACCAUCUGGACCAUGCAUCAGCAGGCUACCCUCUUCCCGGGAGGCAGGGGCCCUGGAUGGCGUGGGGGAGAAGAGGAGGAAGCAAGUUCAGGGAGCUGAGGUGACUUGCCUGAGAUCUGACAGCAACUAGAAAUCUGAGCUCUCUGGACCAUGUCCACGCUGGAAGGCUUUCAGGAAAAGCCUGUGCCAGGCAUCUUCAUUGACUGACCUAAGCUGGGAGAAAGUACCUGGAAGAAUGGUCUUCAAGAACCUCAGCUCUUUAACAAUGAGACUCCACAUUUUCCUCACUGCUCUUUUUGCCAUCUUCCAGGUUCUACCUGGCAUCACUAGGGCACUCCAUUUUGAAAGACCCUGCUACCUUAGAGGUGGGAUCUGUCUGAAGCGAGGAACACCGAAUUGUGAGCCUUUCAGAGGACCCUGCAGAGCUUUCACUGUUUGCUGUAAAAUAAGGAGAAGCUGAUGGAGAAGCCUGGCAAGGAACAUAGGCGCAGGAUCUGAAGGGUGGCUCCUUUAGUCCAGAUGAGAGCAAACAUUACUCAAGUCCACGGAACUGAUUAUUGUCAUUAGGACUGAUUAAAGAAAGAGAUGUUUCCCAUGAAGGGAUAGGCAUUGG